UCAAGCGAACAAGUGCAUGUGGUGGAUGCCUUGGCGAUCACAGGCGAUGAAGGACGCGGUAGCCUGCGAAAAGCCCCGGGGAGCUGGCAAACAAGCUUUGAUCCGGGGAUGUCCGAAUGGGGAAACCCACUCCUUUUGGAGUAUCCAUGACUGAAUACAUAGGUCAUGUGAAGCGAACGCGGUGAACUGAAACAUCUAAGUAACCGCAGGAAAAGAAAUCAACCGAGAUUCCCAAAGUAGUGGCGAGCGAAAUGGGAUGAGCCUUGUACUCUUUAUUUGUAUUGUUAGCCGAACGCUCUGGAAAGUGCGGCCAUAGCAGGUGAUAGCCCUGUAGGCGAAAACAGUAUGAAAGAACUAGGUGUACGACAAGUAGGGCGGGACACGUGAAAUCCUGUCUGAAGAUGGGGGGACCAUCCUCCAAGGCUAAAUACUCGUGAUCGACCGAUAGUGAACCAGUACCGUGAGGGAAAGGCGAAAAGAACCCCGGGAGGGGAGUGAAAUAGAUCCUGAAACCGCAUGCAUACAAACAGUCGGAGCCUCGUAAGGGGUGACGGCGUACCUUUUGUAUAAUGGGUCAGCGACUUACGUUCAGUAGCAAGCUUAACCGUAUAGGGCAGGCGUAGCGAAAGCGAGUCCGAAUAGGGCGUUCAGUUGCUGGGCGUAGACCCGAAACCAGGUGAUCUAUCCAUGGCCAGGAUGAAGGUGCGGUAACACGUACUGGAGGUCCGAACCCACUAACGUUGAAAAGUUAGGGGAUGAGCUGUGGAUAGGGGUGAAAGGCUAAACAAACCUGGAAAUAGCUGGUUCUCUCCGAAAACUAUUUAGGUAGUGCCUCGUGUCUCACCUUCGGGGGUAGAGCACUGUCAUGGUUGGGGGGUCUAUUGCAGAUUACCCCGCCAUAGCAAACUCCGAAUACCGAAGAGUGCAAUCACGGGAGACAGACAUCGGGUGCUAACGUCCGGUGUCAAGAGGGAAACAACCCAGACCGCCAGCUAAGGUCCCCAAAUAUGGCUAAGUGGGAAACGAAGUGGGAAGGCUAAAACAGUCAGGAGGUUGGCUUAGAAGCAGCCACCCUUUAAAGAAAGCGUAAUAGCUCACUGAUCGAGUCGUCCUGCGCGGAAGAUGUAACGGGGCUAAGCCAUAUACCGAAGCUGCGGAUGCGUGCUUGCACGCAUGGUAGGAGAGCGUUCCGUAAGCCUGCGAAGGUGCCUUGUAAAGGGUGCUGGAGGUAUCGGAAGUGCGAAUGCUGACAUGAGUAGCGAUAAAGGGGGUGAAAGGCCCCCUCGCCGUAAGCCCAAGGUUUCCUACGCAACGUUCAUCGGCGUAGGGUGAGUCGGCCCCUAAGGCGAGGCAGAAAUGCGUAGCUGAUGGGAAGCAGGUCAAUAUUCCUGCACCGUCGUUAGAUGCGAUGGGGGGACGGAUCGCGGAAGGUUGUCCGGGUGUUGGACGUCCCGGUCGCUGCAUUGGAGAAGGCGCUUAGGCAAAUCCGGGCGCAGGAUUCAAGGGUGUGGCGCGAGCGACUUCGGUCGCGAAGCAAUUGGAAGUGGUUCCAAGAAAAGCCUCUAAGCUUCAGUCUAACGAUGACCGUACCGCAAACCGACACAGGUGGGCGAGAUGAGUAUUCUAAGGCGCUUGAGAGAACUCGGGAGAAGGAACUCGGCAAAUUGGUACCGUAACUUCGGGAUAAGGUACGCCCUUGUAGCUUGACCAGCCUGCGCUGGAAGGGUGAAGGGGUUGCAAUAAACUGGUGGCUGCGACUGUUUAAUAAAAACACAGCACUCUGCAAACACGAAAGUGGACGUAUAGGGUGUGACGCCUGCCCGGUGCCGGAAGAUUAAAUGAUGGGGUGCAAGCUCUUGAUUGAAGUCCCGGUAAACGGCGGCCGUAACUAUAACGGUCCUAAGGUAGCGAAAUUCCUUGUCGGGUAAGUUCCGACCUGCACGAAUGGCGUAACGAUGGCCACACUGUCUCCUCCCGAGACUCAGCGAAGUUGAAGUGUUUGUGAUGAUGCAAUCUACCCGCGGCUAGACGGAAAGACCCCAUGAACCUUUACUGUAGCUUUGCAUUGGACUUUGAACCGAUCUGUGUAGGAUAGGUGGGAGGCUAUGAAACCGGAACGCUAGUUUCGGUGGAGCCGUCCUUGAAAUACCACCCUGGUUUGUUUGAGGUUCUAACCUUGGUCCGUGAUCCGGAUCGGGGACAGUGCAUGGUAGGCAGUUUGACUGGGGCGGUCUCCUCCCAAAGGGUAACGGAGGAGUACGAAGGUACGCUAGGUACGGUCGGAAAUCGUGCUGAUAGUGCAAUGGCAUAAGCGUGCUUAACUGCGAGACCGACAAGUCGAGCAGGUGCGAAAGCAGGUCAUAGUGAUCCGGUGGUUCUGUAUGGAAGGGCCAUCGCUCAACGGAUAAAAGGUACUCUGGGGAUAACAGGCUGAUACCGCCCAAGAGUUCAUAUCGACGGCGGUGUUUGGCACCUCGAUGUCGGCUCAUCUCAUCCUGGGGCUGUAGCCGGUCCCAAGGGUAUGGCUGUUCGCCAUUUAAAGAGGUACGUGAGCUGGGUUUAAAACGUCGUGAGACAGUUUGGUCCCUAUCUGCCGUGGGCGUUGGAUAUUUGAAGGGGGCUGCUCCUAGUACGAGAGGACCGGAGUGGACGAACCUCUGGUGUACCGGUUGUGACGCCAGUCGCAUCGCCGGGUAGCUAUGUUCGGAAGAGAUAACCGCUGAAAGCAUCUAAGCGGGAAACUCGCCUUAAGAUGAGAUAUCCCUGGAGGCUUGACCUCCUUGAAGGGUCGUUCGAGACCAGGACGUUGAUAGGUCGGGUGUGUAAGCGCAGUAAUGCGUUCAGCUAACCGAUACUAAUUGCCCGUAAGGCUUGAUCCU
rnacentral:rRNA from 1 species